rnacentral:rRNA from 1 species
GACGAACGCUGGCGGCGUGCUUAACACAUGCAAGUCGAGCGGUAAGGCCCUUUCGGGGGUACACGAGCGGCGAACGGGUGAGUAACACGUGGGUGACCUGCCCUCAGCUCUGGGAUAAGCCCGGGAAACUGGGUCUAAUACCGGAUAUGACUCCACGGUGCAGUGUCGUGGGGUGGAAAGCCUUGUGCGGCUGAGGAUGGGCCCGCGGCCUAUCAGCUUGUUGGUGGGGUGAUGGCCACCAAGGCGACGACGGGUAGCCGGCCUGAGAGGGCGACCGGCCACACUGGGACUGAGACACGGCCCAGACUCCUACGGGAGGCAGCAGUGGGGAAUAUUGCACAAUGGGCGGAAGCCUGAUGCAGCGACGCCGCGUGAGGGAUGACGGCCU